AAGUCGUAACAAGGUUUCCGUAGGUGAACCUGCGGAAGGAUCAUUAUGAAUUUUGGAUGGGGGGUCAUCUUUAAUGAUGAGACCUCUUCAUUUUUCUGUGAACUGGUAUUGUUUGUUCCGAGUAGGCUUGUCCUUUAUUGGGUGGGUUGAAAAGAUGAACGAUAUGUUUUUGUUAUCUUAUAUUUAUUCCAUUUUUUUUUAUUUCGUAAAUCUUUCUUUUUCAUUUUUGAAAAAAAAAGACUUUUUGAAAUAAAACAAUAAACCAAGACAACUUUCAGCAAUGGAUCUCUUGGCUCUU
rnacentral:misc_RNA from 1 species